AGAGAACAGUUGCAUCCUGCAUGUCUAACAAUUCCUCUUCUCCAAAGUACACUGGAUUUUCUGGGAGGCUUCUCUUCUUCAGGUUUUCCGUGCAUAGGUAAACAUAUGGCAUGCCACAAGUUGUUUCCGUUGUGUUGUCCUCACCGUAGAUAGGUGUUGCACUCACCUCAAACACUUUCCAAGAUCCAGUCAGCUCUGAUGGUUGGAUUCUUCUUCUUUGAGAAAAGGGCUUCACGUCCAGCUCCAUGUCACUUUGGUCAGCUAGAUUAGCAGUACUAACCCACUGCUCUUCAUACAUAGCAACCCUCAAUAUUUGGAUGUCUGAACCCCCAUUACUGAACUCUAUUGUGUGCACCAUGCGGAGUCUCUUGUGACAACCUUUUACCAGACAUUGCUCGAACUUAAAAGUUGGUGAGAGGUAAUAGUUAGACUCAUCCAACUCACCAACUGGGAUAUCAACUGGGCCUCUUGAGUAAGAUCCAUCCUCAAAGAAUACAAGACCAGGUUCCAUUCCCAUAAUGUCUUCCUCCAUAAUAUCAGUCUUUCCAAAGUCAAAAGAUUCAAACUUAGGCAAAUUUCUUGAUUUUCUAUCAGGUGUAUCAUGUAUAUCGGAGGACAAUGCUGCAUCUGUGAAGUUCUCUAGGCUUCUGUUGUCAUCCCCAUUCGAUUCUGGAACUUCCCCGUGUGGAUUCACUGUUACCCAAUUUACUUUCCUUCGAAUUAAAGAUCUUUGACUGGCAGAAGCUGAUGACUCUAUAUCAAUACGAGAGAGAGUAUAGCAGUCAAAGAGGUGUUCAUUCUUGUAGCCAAUCUCGAUAGGCUCCAUCUCUGCCGUGAUGGGAGAAAAAACAGCUCCAACUCCCUUCCAUAUCCCACUGACACUACUGAUAAAUGUAUUCCAUGCAGGUAAGAUAACAGGUUCCUGCGUCUGUAAAACAGUUUCGACUUCCAUUAACAUAGCACUAGAUAUCAUAACUCUAUCACCUUUGUUUUUCCUAGUAACAUUUCUCAUCCUCUUUCCACCUCUUUUUCUCCUCCCCCUCCUCGGCUUAUCUCUUUCCUUGUCCGUCUUUGCCAUUUCGUUGUCAAUACUCCACACAUUUUCCUUCCCCUUCCCAUGUACUUUGGCCCUCUCCCUACUGUCGAACUUUCUACCUCCAGUAUCCCUGCAGGAAACGCAAAAAUAGCAAUAAUUGGGUUUAUGUAUUGAAGGUGUAGUGUAAUGGUAACUGCUGGAUCUCAGGAGCUUAAAGG
rnacentral:misc_RNA from 1 species